UCUAGCCAUCUAAGCUUUCCGUAUUCGGCCGCUCCGCCUCCCACCUGAUUAGGACUCCUGAAGAUGGAAAAAACAGAAAAAAAUCAAGGGAAAAGACUCCACUAAGCUUCCCUAUUCGGCCACUCCGAGCCUCCCAUCAAGGGAAAAGACUCCUCUAAGAUUCCCUAUUCGGCCACUCCGAGCCUCCCAUCUAAUUGGGCUUCUGAGGAUGGAAAAACAUAGAGGAAACUUGGGAGAAAACGAAGGAAAAAUCAAAGAAAACAAAGGAACAUUGGAAAAAAUUGAGAGCUGCAACCAGCUGUAUCCUUUCAACGGAUUCAAGACAAGUCCUACCUCCUUUUCCCAUUCAAAGCAACAAAAUCUAGGGCACAAUCCAAGAAAGAUAAAGGACUUCUUUUCCUUUUUCAUGGAUGGCCAUGGAUGGCUUUCUCCAUCAAUCCCCAGAACUUGAAGCUCUCGAAUUGUAUGGGUAUCGGACCAAAUCCAACCAAAUCUAGGAAGAUCUCCCGCGAGACAAAUGGCAAGAUUAAAGAGGCGGAGUCGUGAAAAGAUUUCGAGAAACCUCAAAGAUUUAUCAAAUGGGCAUCAUAUCAUAUCAUAUCAAAAUUGAAAUCCAGCACAGAUUUGCAAAUCUUUGAUAUUAAUUACAGUGAAGAAGAAUCGAAGCAAAGUUUGAGAUGGAGACAUACCCGGCCACUUCUCCAGGGAACAGCGAGAGAUCCACCGGACGGACGAGAGGAGUGAAAGAGGCUCUCAUUUAAGAGAGGCGUUUGGAGGUCAACGGCCGGUUAUCAGAGUUGCAGAGCAGUGGAAUCGUGUGGAGGAGAGGAGUUUGUGAGCCAUCGGGGAACGGCCUUUCGCGCGAAAAAUAGCCGUGUCCGCUCCUUUUGCCCAUUUCUUGGAGGGAGAUUGAGGAGGCCCUUUUGGGCGUUAACACUCGGCGCCACCGUUGAGAAGAUGCCGACUCUCUCACAGAUUGCUUAACCGACCAAAUGCAUGCUCACUGACAAGUGUAAAUGGAUUGUGGGUGACAAUUAUUUUGGAUGGUAUUAGUUACUAGAAGUUGAGAAUCAGUGAUCUAAGGUUCACCAUGAUUCAUGGUUUCAACUAAUUUCGAUAAACCUUAUUCUUAUCCCUGAAAAAGUAUAAUUAAGUAGAAGAAUUUUUAUGCAA